GAUGAACGCUGGCGGCGUGCUUAACACAUGCAAGUCGAACGGACGCUUUGGGUAACUGAAGCGUUAGUGGCAAACGGGUGCGUAACACGUGGGUGACCUACCCCGAAGUGGGGAACAACGGACCGAAAGGUUCGCUAAUACCGCAUUAGCUCGAUGAUUCAUUUUGUCGAGUAAAGCCGUAAGGCGCUUCGGGAGGGGCCCGCGGCCCAUCAGGUAGUUGGUGAGGUAAUGGCCCACCAAGCCGAUGACGGGUAGCUGGUCUGAGAGGACGAUCAGCCACACUGGCACUGAGAUACGGGCCAGACUCCUACGGGAGGCAU
rnacentral:rRNA from 1 species